CUUCAGGGUUGGGUGCAAUUCCCUACCGGUGGUUAUAGCCCACGAGCUUAUUUUUAUAAGUUGAUUUGGUGAAAAUCCAAAGCCGACGGUAAAGUCCGGAUGAAAGAAGU
rnacentral:ncRNA from 1 species